rnacentral:tRNA from 1 species
GAGGGUACAGCUCAGUGAUAGAGCACGUGCCUAGCAUGGAUGAGGUCCUGGGUUCAACCCCCAAUAUCUCCA